AGGAGCAAAUCUGAAAAAAGCGUCCCUAGUUCGGAUUGUAGGCUGAAACUCGCCUACAUGAAGCUGGAAUUGCUAGUAAUCACAGGUCAGCAUACUGUGGUGAAUACGUUCCCGGGCCUUGUACACACCGCCCGUCACACCAUGAGAGUCGGGAACACCCGAAGUCCGUAGUCUAACCGCAAGGGGGGCGCGGCCGAAGGUGGGUCCGGUAAUUGGGGUGAAGUCGUAACAAGGUAGC
rnacentral:rRNA from 1 species